rnacentral:rRNA from 1 species
CUCAUAGCGUAUAUUUAAGUUGUUGCAGUUAAAAAGCUCGUAGUUGGAUUUCGGGCCCAGGCGGCGCGGUGCCGCCGUUUCGGUGUGCACUGGUCGGCUCGGUCUUUCUGCCGGGGACGCGCUCCGUCUUGACUGCCGGACGCGGAGUCGGCGACGUUACUUUGAAAAAAUUAGAGUGUUCAAAGCAGGCUUACGCUCUGAAUACUAUAGCAUGGAAUAACACGAUAGGACUCCGAGCCUAUUUUGUUGGUCUUCGGGACCGGAGUAAUGAUUAAGAGGGACAGUUGGGGGCAUUCGUAUUACGGUGUCAGAGGUGAAAUUCUUGGAUUUCCGUAAGACGAACUUCUGCGAAAGCAUUUGCCAAGGAUGUUUUCAUUAAUCAAGAACGAAAGUUGGGGGCUCGAAGAUGAUCAGAUACCGUCGUAGUCUCAACCAUAAACGAUGCCGACUAGGGAUUGGAGGAUGUUAAUUCGAUGACUUCUCCAGCACCUUAAGAGAAAUCAAAGUUUUUGGGUUCCGGGGGGAGUAUGGUCGCAAGGCUGAAACUUAAAGGAAUUGACGGAAGGGCACCACCAGGCGUGGAGCCUGCGGCUUAAUUUGACUCAACACGGGGAAACUUACCAGGUCCAGACAUAGUAAGGAUUGACAGAUUGAGAGCUCUUUCUUGAUUCUAUGG